ACAAAAACCAUCAAUAUUGAAUGUUAGCAAUGUCUCUCCAACCAAUCUCUCGCGUUUCUUUUUAACUUUUCAUUCAAAAGAUUCCUUCUUCUUUUCCUUCUUUUUAUCUGGACUAGCUAGCUCACCCGAUUUGUUUACUUUUCUAUCGAAAGAUUCGUUUUAUCCUUUUCUUUUCCUUUCUACAUAGACUAGUGGGUGGGGUGGCUGGCUGCAGAAUUCUUCUGUGAGAAGGAAAACUUUACUCGAUCUUUCUUUGUUGUAUUCCCAGUGUCCGUCGUCUCUGAGACUCGAUUCUGUAAGUGAGGCAGCGGCCGGCGGCGAGCGACCGUCGACUUCGCCUAGGACCUACGUACCCUUUGCCAGAAAAGAAGUCAAUAUUAGUUAUCUAUGAAUCCCAAAAAGGGAAUGGAGAUGAUGAUCAAGGUGGGUCCUAAUGGGAUAAGACUGGGAGAUACUUGGGAUGAGAAAGGCAAAAACUUGCUAACCAGAGGAAGGCACACACUUCCGCAUUCAGAUGGGGACGAACCAGCAACUAUUUGGAGGAUUUCAUGGAACUUCUGACUCAAACUAUCUCUACUCAAUUGGAGCUUACGUGAAGUCUAUCAAUCCGUUGGAGGAUACUAAAUUACAUAUUUCAACCGUUCCUACAACAACAAAAAAAUCAGCCUUCACUACAACAAAAUGGGUAGGCACAUUUAGGGGCACAUUUAGCUAAAGAGAAGGCAAUAGGGGCGGCUUAAUGCAUCCAUCACUAAAGGUUAAGUAAUAGGGGCUUUCAAGCCUCUAUUUUCAUUUGUUUUUCUAUUUGUAGGUGAAAUGUAAUUAUUAUCACCAAGCUUGAUCAAGCAUGAUCAGCUCAUUUUAAUUAAAUAAGCAUAUGAUUUUGAACUGCAGGACAAACCCAAGACUAGAUGCUUAUCAGGGAAUUAAAGGGAGUGAAAGAAGGAAAUAACAGAGAAUAGAUAAAUUAGAUUAAAAUCAGAAAUAGUGUUGAACUCUUGAACAUUAUGAUAACAGAAUAAAAUUACAAGUAGAAAAAAGUAGAAGAAGAAAGAUUUUGUAUGAAGUAGAUUCAUGUGGGAUUAUUGUCAAUAUAAACUAGACUUUUGCUUCUUACUACCACUUAUCCUUAAUAUCAAAUUGGAAAGUUUCUUAUUUUUUCUGACUCAUUUUUUUCUAUUGGUUGAUGAUGAAAUCUUAAACCCUGCUAUAUUGUUCAAGUUGACCUAAUUGGGGUGAGUUCUUACUCUUCUAAGGAUUUAUGACGUGGAAAACAAGGGCAUCGUGCUAGCAAGAGAAGAGAAUGAGACCACAACCUUUACAAAUCAAAUGUGCUUGAGAGGCCAAAGGUGAUUUACAAUUGAGAUGUUACGAAAAAUUCAUGUCCUUCCUCUGAACUUGUAUAUUGUAUAUAGUUGAGUUGUUCAACAGUAUGUUGAAAUGAUUCAUAAUUUCCUCUGUUGUCAUGAUUUCUUGUUUAUUCAUCUUUGUUUUUUUGUUGGGUGGGGAGGCUAUGAUGGACUGUGUUAUCUAAAUCUGCAGAAAGGGGUUUACUGAAAUGUAUGUGGAACAUGUUUGCAAGGAUUGGUGUAUGU